UACGAAGGGGGCUAGCGUUGCUCGGAUUUACUGGGCGUAAAGGGCGCGUAGGCGGAUGUUUAAGUCGGGGGUGAAAGCCCGGGGCUCAACCUCGGAAUUGCCUUCGAUACUGGACAUCUUGAGUACGGGAGAGGUGAGUGGAACUCCGAGUGUAGAGGUGAAAUUCGUAGAUAUUCGGAAGAACACCAGUGGCGAAGGCGACUCACUGGCCCGUUACUGGCGCUGAGGCGCGAAAGCGUGGGGAGCGAACAGG
rnacentral:rRNA from 1 species